AUUGAACCAGAUCAACAUGGUGGUGAUGAUACGGCUCUUAACAGUAUCAAGCUAAUAUGUGGAUCAAAAGACGGCCAUUACGGUAGUACAGUUACAUCCGGUGAGGGGAGCUGGGGAAGCUGGGUAGGAGCCACGAUGUGUAGUUAUAGUUAUAAUGAUACUCAAACAUAUCUUUCAUCGUUUGCGUUACAAGUGGAAGAAUUAUUGCCAGGAGACAGAGACGAUGUUGCAGCUACCUACGUAAAAUUCUGGUGUAGAGAUUUUGAUUUGAAUCGUGAACACGAAUUAGCUCAUCCACCUGGACGGGGAUCAUUGGGUAUUUAUGGAAAUCAGAGCGAAAAAUGCAACCAAGGUACUGCCAUAUGUGGACUUCAAACCAAUAUUGAGGCGCCGAUAUUUUUCGGAGAUGACACAGCGCUCAACAAUGUCAAAUUCUUCUGUUGUGCAUAAAACAAUGACAAAAUACAACGAAUACAUAUGAUACAAUUAA